UACGAAGGGGGCUAGCGUUGUUCGGAUUUACUGGGCGUAAAGCGCAUGUAGGCGGUUCAUUAAGUUGGGGGUGAAAUCCCGAGGCUCAACCUCGGAAUUGCCUCCGAAACUGGCUGUCUGGAGCAGCAGAGAGGCGAGUGGAAUUCCGAGUGUAGAGGUGAAAUUCGUAGAUAUUCGGAGGAACACCAGUGGCGAAGGCGACUCGCUGGCUUCUUGCUGACGCUGAGAUGCGAAAGCGUGGGGAGCAAACAGG
rnacentral:rRNA from 1 species